CGGCACGGGUGCGUAACGCGUAUGCAACCUACCAUCAACAGGGGGAUAACACUGAGAAAUUGGUACUAAUACCCCAUAAUAUCUCAUGCGGCAUCGCAUGGGGUUGAAAACUCCGGUGGUUGAUGAUGGGCAUGCGUUGUAUUAGCUGGUUGGUGUGGUAACGGCUCACCAAGGCGACGAUACAUAGGGGGACUGAGAGGUUAACCCCCCACAUUGGUACUGAGACACGGACCAAACUCCUACGGAAGGCAGCAG
rnacentral:rRNA from 1 species